rnacentral:rRNA from 1 species
UGUGUAGGCGGUUGUUUAAGUUUGGUGUGAAAUCUCCCGGCUCAACUGGGAGGGUGCGCCGAAUACUGAAUGACUAGAGUGCGGGAGAGGAAAGUGGAAUUCCUGGUGUAGCGGUGAAAUGCGUAGAUAUCAGGAGGAACACCGGUGGUGUAGACGGCUUUCUGGACCGUAACUGACGCUGAGACACGAAAGCGUGGGUAAGCAAACA